CUACUCUUGACAUCCGCGGAAUUGUGCAGAGAUGCGCAAGUGCCUUCGGGAACCGUGAGACAGGUGCUGCAUGGCUGUCGUCAGCUCGUGUUGUGAAAUGUUGGGUUAAGUCCCGCAACGAGCGCAACCCUUGUCCUUUGUUGCCAGCGCGUAGAGGCGGGAACUCAAAGGAGACUGCCGGUGAUAAACCGGAGGAAGGUGGGGACGACGUCAAGUCAUCAUGGCCCUUACGAGUAGGGCUACACACGUGCUACAAUGGCGUAUACAAAGGGAUGCGAACCUGCGAGGGAAAGCGGAACUCAGAAAGUACGUCGUAGUCCGGAUUAGAGUCUGCAACUCGACUCCAUGAAGUCGGAAUCGCUAGUAAUCGUAGAUCAGAAUGCUACGGUGAAUACGUUCCC
rnacentral:rRNA from 1 species